UUGGUCCUACGGGGCGCAGCAGUGGGGAAUAUUGGGCAAUGGGCGCAAGCCUGACCCAGCAACGCCGCGUGAAGGAAGAAGGCUUUCGGGUUGUAAACUUCUUUUCUCAGGGACGAAGCAAGUGACGGUACCUGAGGAAUAAGCCACGGCUAACUACGUGCCAGCAGCCGCGGUAAUACGUAGGUGGCAAGCGUUAUCCGGAUUUACUGGGUGUAAAGGGCGUAGACGGUGAUGCAAGUCUGGAGUGAAAGGCGGGGGCCCAACCCCCGGACUGCUCUGGAAACUGUAUGACUUGAGUGCAGGAG
rnacentral:rRNA from 1 species